rnacentral:rRNA from 1 species
GAUGGACGCUGGCGGCGUGCCUAAUACAUGCAAGUCGAGCGAAAAGACGCCGGGCUUCCUCCUUUGACGUUUGCGGAGGACGGGUGAAUAACACGUGGAUAAUCUACUUCUCAUCCUGGGAUACCUUCGGAACACCGGAGCUAAUACGGGAUAAUAUAUUGAACCAUGUGGUUCAGUAAUGAAAUUCGGUUUUGCUUUCACUUGUAGCUUGUUACGCGCGGGAUUAGCUAGUUGGUAAGGUAACGGCUUACCAAGGGGACGAGGCGUAGCCGAUCGGACCGGGUGGUCGGCCACACGGGAACUGGUACACGGUCCAUAGUACUACGGGAGGCAGCAGUAGGGUAUCUUCCGCAAUAGUCGGAAGCCUUACGGAGCAACGGCACGUGUGUUAUGGAGAUCUUGCGUUCGGAAAACUCGGUUAUGGGUUAAGAACAAAUGUGUAAGUAAAUGUGCACGACUUGACGGUACCUAAACAAAAAGCAACGGCUAACUACGUG